rnacentral:piRNA from 1 species
UGGGAGAUGUUUCUAGGAUCUU